rnacentral:rRNA from 1 species
AUAUCAAUAAGCGGAGGAAAAGAAACCAACAGGGAUUGCCUCAGUAACGGCGAGUGAAGCGGCAAAAGCUCAAAUUUGAAAUCCCCCGGGAAUUGUAAUUUGAAGAGAUUUGGGUCCGGCCGGCAGGGGUUAAGUCCACUGGAAAGUGGCGCCACAGAGGGUGACAGCCCCGUGAACCCCCUUAAAGCCCUCAUCCCAGAUCUCCAAGAGUCGAGUUGUUUGGGAAUGCAGCUCUAAGUGGGUGGUAAAUUCCAUCUAAAGCUAAAUACCGGCGAGAGACCGAUAGCGAACAAGUACAGUGAUGGAAAGAUGAAAAGCACUUUGAAAAGAGAGUGAAAAAGUACGUGAAAUUGUUGAAAGGGAAGGGCUUGCAAGCAGACACUUAACUGGGCCAGCAUCGGGGCGGCGGGGAGCAAAACCACUGGGGAAUGUACCUUUCGAGGAUUAUAACCCCGGUCCUUACUCCCUCACCAUCCCGAGGCCUGCAAUCUAAGGAUGCUGGCGUAAUGGUUGC